CAAUAGCGUAUAUUAAAGUUGUUGCAGUUAAAAAGCUCGUAGUUGGAUUUCUGGUUGAAGCGACCGGUCGGGCGUUGAUUCGUCUGCACUGGAGUCGGUUUUGGCCAUCCUCUAGGAAAGUGCGUCUGGUAUUAAGUUAUCGGGCGUAUGAUCCUGGUCUUUUACUGUGAAAAAAUUAGAGUGUUUAAAGCAGGCCUUCGCCUUGAAUACAUUAGCAUGGAAUAAUAAGAUAGGACUUUGGUCUAUUUUGUUGGUUUGCAGACCGAAGUAAUGAUUAAUAGGGAUAGUUGGGGGUAUUUAUAUUCCGAUGUCAGAGGUGAAAUUCUUAGAUUUUCGGAAGAUAAACUUAUGCGAAAGCAUUUACCAAGGAUGUAUUCAUUAA
rnacentral:rRNA from 1 species